CAUGGAGGGUGAGAAUCCCGUUCAUGGUUAAUUCUAAGAUGCUUUAUGAUGCGUUUUCGAAGAGUCGAGUUGUUUGGGAUUGCAGCUCAAAAUGGGAGGUAAAUUUCUCCUAAGGCUAAAUAUUGGCGAGAGACCGAUAGCGAACAAGUACCGUGAGGGAAAGAUGAAAAGCACUUUGAAAAGAGAGUUAAAUAGUACGUGAAAUUGUUGAAAGGGAAACGAUUGAAGCCAGUCGUACCGACGGAGAAUCAACUUUUGGAAUGCGUUUCGGGGUAUUCGAGGAGUUUAAAAGCCCUCUUGUGCUUUUGUAUUCGUGUUUCUUGGGUGCACUUCUUCGUAUGGUAGGUUAACAUCAAUUUUGGACGUUAUAAAAUGACUGGGGGAAUGUAGCUUCGAUUUUUCGAAGUGUUAUAGCCCUUGGUAGAUGUGACGACCGGGAUUGAGGAUUGCAACGAAUGCUUUCGGGCUAUCCGUCUGACCUCUGGUGGUUGCUUUGGAGUCGAAAGCUUGCUUACGAUUUUAAAGUUAGCUGCCAAAAGGCUAGAACGUGAUCAAAUUCGUUAAGGAUGUUGACGUAAUGG
rnacentral:rRNA from 1 species